GCGGGCCGGCCCACCGUGCUACUCGUAGCGGGGAAGUGGUAGUGUCGAACUUCGCCGCGGACGGGGAGUAGCGCGUGGACAAUCUACCCUGUAGACGGGGAUAACACUUCGAAAGUGGUGCUAAUACCUAAUAAUGUCAAGAAGCUUCAUCCUUUUUUGAAAAAAAGAAAAAUCGGCUUUAAGAUGACUCCUCCUCCUAUUACCUAGUUGGCGGAGUUAUUUGGUGAGGGGCGUCUCACGCCGGCCAGCAAGCGUAACCGACCUGCACAGUGGAACUGACACACUGUCCCUACUCCUACGGCAGGACUCAGUGGGGAAGAUUGUGGAAUGGGGGAAACCCUGACACACCGACCCCGACUGAGCGAAGAAUCGCUUCUGGUCGUAAAGCUCAAUAUCAUGGGAAUAAGGAGGUGACGGUACCAUAGUACCGCCCCAGCUAGGUACAUGCCUGACCGUACCUAAUACGUAAGGCGGGAGCGUUACCUGAGUUCCUGCGCGGAAAGACCGCGGUGGCGGGUGUUGAGUCGAAUAUGUGGGAGCUGGGCGCGCGCAAGGGCAUACAUCUGUAUCUGUGUCUUGACUCAGAGACAGCAGGUCAGAGUCAUUGGAUACUGGUGAACUGACUGAAGACUACAGAGUAGAAUCCCACUGCAGCUCUGACUAGUGUACAGAUGCUGAGGAUGACAGCUAGCGACGAGACUCUCUGUACUCUACUGACCUCGUAACUAAUCUAGGGAUGGACACGAUGACGUAUCAUGCAUCUUAGCGCUACGAUGACGCAGGUAACGUCGGUACGCUGGGGCCUGCUGUCACUGGACGCUAGGCUCCAGUCGAGGUCGUAGUCUAGUAACCAGAAUACCAAGACGAC
rnacentral:rRNA from 1 species